AACGCACAUUGCGCCCCUUGGUAUUCCGGGGGGCAUGCCUGUUCGAGCGUCAUUAUAACCAAUCCAGCUUGCUGGGUCUUGGGCUGCGCCUCCCUGGCGGGCCUUAAAAACAGUGGCGGUGCUCUUCAGCUCUACGCGUAGUAAUUUCUCUCGCGAUUGGGCCUGGAGGGAUGCUUGCCAACAACCCCCAAUUUUUUUAGGUUGACCUCGGAUCAGGUAGGGAUACCCGCUGAACUUAA
rnacentral:misc_RNA from 4 species